ensembl:ncRNA F57B7.13 ncRNA
UCGACGCUGUAACUCGUUCAAUAAACACCGCUGUCGCAAAUCCGGACGUGAGAAUUUCGGGGCGGAGAAGCAGGGGGCACACCCGCCUCGAAUUUGCAUUUUAAAUUGUGCCACGGAAUGAGUGAGGGACUUUGCCAAAAUA